rnacentral:misc_RNA from 1 species
GGACCCGUGUCUGCCGGUAGAUCCCCCGUUUUUGUGCGGCUGACUACCGGCGCCGUGUCCUGUCGUUCCUGUGGCUUUGUGUUACCGUUGCCUUUCAAGUGCUUGCGUGCUGGUACCUGAACUAAGGGAAUUGGUGCUACGUACAUGUUGCCUCGCGGUGGACGCCUUCGGGUGUGCUGCUGCGGCCAAAUGGCGCUUGCGGCGUUGCCUCGUUACGCUGCCACGUUUACGUGGUUGUUGUUAUCAAGGCAACCUCGCUCCUGCUGUUGGUCUCGGAUGUUGCCCACGAUGAAGUCUCAUGGCCCUUUUUGGUUGCCUAGACCCGACCCUAAGAAGCUCUCCGAAUUGAGAACAACCGGAACAGGUGUUGCCUCUAUGUAUUCCUCAGUUAGUGGUAUGAUACGCAACAUUUUGCGCCGAUCCUCAAAUAAGUAGGACGAGCUUAGCCCCCUCAAUUGUGACAUCCGGCCCGGGGACCGCUUCUGGCUUGACACGCAAGUGGACGGACGGACGACUCCCGACGCUGGACGUCAACAAGGA